UACAGAGGGUGCGAGCGUUAAUCGGAAUUACUGGGCGUAAAGGGCGCGUAGGCGGUUAUAUAAGUUAGAUGUGAAAUCCCUGGGCUUAACCUAGGAACUGCAUCUAAGACUGUAUAACUGGAGUGCAGUAGAGGGUAGUGGAAUUUCCGGUGUAGCGGCGAAAUGCGUAGAUAUCGGAAGGAACACCAGUGGCGAAGGCGGCUACCUGGACUGACACUGACGCUGAGGCGCGAGAGCGUGGGGAGCAAACAGG
rnacentral:rRNA from 1 species